rnacentral:rRNA from 1 species
AUACGGAAGGUCCGGGCGUUAUCCGGAUUUAUUGGGUUUAAAGGGAGCGCAGGCGGCACUUCAAGCGUGACGUUAAAUUUCGGGGCUCACCCCCGUUUUGCGUCGCGAACUGUUGUGCUUGAGUAGGCGGCAGGGAGGCGGAAUUCGCGGUGUAGCGGUUAGAUGCUUAGAUAUCGCGAGGAACUCCGAUAGCGCAGGCAGCCUCCCGUUGCUUUACUGACGCUCAUGCUCGAAGGUGCGGGUAUCGAACAGGAUUAGAUACCCUGGUAGUCCGCACUGUAAACGAUGGAUGCCCGCUGUUGGGCCUUUUGGGUUCAGUGGCCAAGAGAAAUCGUUAAGCAUCCCACCUGGGGAGUACGCACGCAAGUGUGAAACUCAAAUGAAUUGACGGGG